rnacentral:misc_RNA from 1 species
UUUUCGUAGGUGAACCUGCGAAAGGAUCAUUAUCGGCAAAUUCUAUAUAUGUAUACACUACUGUGUGUCUAUAUUCUUUGUGUAAAGACAUGGCUAUGUUGUAAUGAAUGUGUUGCUGUUAUUGUCUAAAGCAUGCGUAGUGGACGGCUCGGUUCCCGUGUCGAUGAAGGACGUAGCGAAAUACGAAAGGUGUUGCGAAUUGCAAGAUUUCGUGAGUCAAUGAAUAUCCGAAUGCAUUGUCGUCCCUUCGCAGCUUCGGUUGCAAGGGGCGCGUCGGCAACAUCGGCUAAUUGUCGACCUUCAUAGGCUCUCUAGUGAACACUCUCUUACUGAGAGAGGUUGCUCGACUCUAUGAAGCAGUGGUUCAGUGAGCAAGCAUUCCAUACGCGAUGUGGCUAUGCUUGUGACGACUCCCUCUCACUAUCGACUACUGACUGAGAUUAACGACAGUAUUGUGACUUGCAUACUCUAUGUGCUUGUCCUAUAGCAAUCAAUCGCUGAGAUUGAAUGCCUAGAAACUGUGCUCAGCAAUAGUAGUCAGGUGUCAGAACGUGUAUCUAUAUUUGACGAUGUUGUCGGCGAGGAA